rnacentral:rRNA from 1 species
CCUACGGUAGGCAGCAGUGAGGAAUAUUGGUCCAUGGCCGAGAGUCUGAACCAGCCAAGUAGCUUGAAGGAUGACUGCCCUCUGGUUUGUAAACUUCUUUUAUAGAGGAAUAAAACUAUGCACGUGUUGCUUUUUGCCUGUACUUUAUUAUUAAGGAUCGGCUCACUCCGUGCCAGCAGCCGCGGGAAUACGGAGGAUCCGAGCGUUAUCCGGAUUUAUUGGGUUUAAAGGGAGCGUAGAUUGUUUGUUAAGUCAGUGGUGAAAGUUUGCGGCUCAACCGUAAAAUUGCAAGUGAUACUGGAAGACUUGAGGACAGUUGAGGUAGGCGGAAUUCGGGGUGUAGAGGUGAAAUGCUGAGAUAUCACGCAGAACACCGAUUGCGAAGGCAGCUUACUAAGCUGUAACUGACACUGAUGCUCGAAAGCGUGGGGAUCAAACAGGAUGAGAGACCCUAGUAGGC